rfam:Tupaia chinensis contig109896, whole genome shotgun sequence.
CAACUCAUGGUGCUCAUGUACUAAAAUUGGAAUGAUACAGAGAAGAUUAGCAUGGCCUCUGUGCAAGGAUGACACACUAAUUUGUGAAGUGUUCUAUAUUUUU